UGUCAAAGUCUCACAUGCUUGGUACACAAGACAUGACCGAAGCAAAAUACUAGAAGUGGGAGAAGGAACCCGCACCACAUGUCUGGGAUGGAUUCUUGUCCAUCAUGGGUGAGCACAUGAUCCAGAUAUGCAGCAAGAUGUUCAACCAGCUCACACGUGACGACGAGAAGGUGAAAAUGAAGGUUAGCACACCCAAGCCCAAGAAACUCAUUGAACAACAACGAGCCUCAGGAGAAUGGAAGUGAGCUUCCAGUGAUGCUGCAAUGCCACGUGCCCUUCUGCUCAGGCCUUCCCACAUCACGGACUGGCAGCUGAGAGGAUGACCCUAGUUUAAUGUUGUCUGGCUUUAUCGAGGUGCUUGUGCCAUUGGAAGCUUUGUGGCAAGAGAAGAGGCGAGGAGAAAUCGGUGGAAAAGAGGGAAAAGAAGAUUAAGAAG